ensembl:misc_RNA Metazoa_SRP Metazoan signal recognition particle RNA
GCUGGGUAUGGUGGCUCAUGCCUGUAAUUUCAGUACUUUGGAAAGCUGAGGUGGGGGGAUCGCUUGAGCCCAGGAGUUCGAGACCAGCCUGGACAAUAUAGUGAGAUCCCACCUCUA